rnacentral:rRNA from 1 species
CAACUCGACUACAUGAAGCUGGAAUCGCUAGUAAUCGCAGAUCAGAAUGCUGCGGUGAAUACGUUCCCGGGUCUUGUACACACCGCCCGUCACACCAUGGGAGUCGGAAAUGCCCGAAGCCGGUGACCCAACCAAAAGGAGGGAGCCGUCGAAGGCAGGUCUGAUAACUGGGGUGAAGUCGUAACAAGGUAGC